rnacentral:rRNA from 1 species
GAUGAACGCUGGCGGCGUGCCUAAUACAUGCAAGUCGAGCGAACGGACGAGAAGCUUGCUUCUCUGAUGUUAGCGGCGGACGGGUGAGUAACACGUGGAUAACCUACCUAUAAGACUGGGAUAACUUCGGGAAACCGGAGCUAAUACCGGAUAAUAUUUUGAACCGCAUGGUUCAAAAGUAAAAGACGGUCUUGCUGUCACUUAUAGAUGGAUCCGCGCUGCAUUAGCUAGUUGGUAAGGUAACGGCUUACCAAGGCAACGAUGCAUAGCCGACCUGAGAGGGUGAUCGGCCACACUGGAACUGAGACACGGUCCAGACUCCUACGGGAGGCAGCAGUAGGGAAUCUUCCGCAAUGGGCGAAAGCCUGACGGAGCAAUGCCGCGUGAGUGAUGAAGGUCUUCGGAUCGUAAAACUCUGUUAUUAGGGAAGAACAUAUGUGUAAGUAACUGUGCACAUCUUGACGGUACCUAAUCAGAAAGCCACGGCUAACUACGUG